rnacentral:rRNA from 1 species
AUGGAGGAGAGGCUGAAACUAAGUCGCGACAGCACGACGGAGGAACGACCAACGUCGGAACACCAGCAGGCAGUGAAGAGGAUCGUCCGCUACAUAGCAGGGACCCUCGACCACGGCCUCCAUUACCCUAGGUGCCCUGGGGCGGCACACUUCGUCGGGUACAGCGACAGCGACCACGCCGGCGACAUCGACACCAGCAAGAGCACGAGCGGGAUCCUCCUCUUCCUCGGCAAGUGUCUCGUGAGCUGGCAAUCAGUCAAGCAGCAGGUGGUGGCCCUGUCCAGCUGUGAGGCUGAGUACAUAGCGGCCUCCACCGCCUGUACUUAG